GACGAACGCUGGCGGCGUGCUUAACACAUGCAAGUCGAACGGAAAGGCCCUGCUUUUGUGGGGUGCUCGAGUGGCGAACGGGUGAGUAACACGUGAGUAACCUGCCCUUGACUUUGGGAUAACUUCAGGAAACUGGGGCUAAUACCGGAUAGGAGCUCCUGCUGCAUGGUGGGGGUUGGAAAGUUUCGGCGGUUGGGGAUGGACUCGCGGCUUAUCAGCUUGUUGGUGGGGUAGUGGCUUACCAAGGCUUUGAUGGGUAGCCGGCCUGAGAGGGUGACCGGCCACAUUGGGACUGAGAUACGGCCCAGACUCCUACGGGAGGCAGCAGUGGGAAUAUUGCACAAUGGGCGGAAGCCUGAUGCAGCAACGCCGCGUGCGGGAUGACGGCCUUCGGGUUGUAAACCGCUUUCGCCUGUGACGAAGCGUGAGUGACGGUAAUGGGUAAAGAAGCACCGGCUAACUACGUG
rnacentral:rRNA from 1 species